UGGAGGGCUAAGAUUAAAUGUGGGAAAGGAAGACUCAUUCCUUCGUAAUCAAUACCUAAAAUAAUAUCGUUUAUCAGGCAUUUAUGUGCCAGGCAUUUUGUCACAAUAAUGCUAGGAGGUAGGAGCUAGUGUCAUUAGCAUUUUUCAUAGAAGAAACUGCAGUUCAGAGAGGUUAACUGCUCAAGGUUACGCAGCCAGUAAGCAGCAGAGUCAAACCCGGGCCACCUGGCUCUAAUUUUAAUCUCGACGCUACCAUUGUAGGUCCUUUGAGUCUCUAUGCGUGCGCAUGUUUGUGUGUGUUGGGGUGCAGAAACAAAGUUAUUCAAGAUACUGUCUCUUACAAACCUUACAGCCUACGUCCUCAGGAAAUGCAUCCUCUGUGAGAGGAUAGGAGGCUGGAGCCAAGAGGUCCAGCGUUAUGAAGUGGCUGGUUACUUUGCUUUUAGAAGAUGGAUGAUGGCUAACGGAGAGGAAGGCUCAGGUAACGCGCCGUAGGAGGGCGAGCACCCACAGCCAAGAAGAGGAGGAAGAGGGCCCCUCCCCCCACUGCGUGACAAAGCUGGGGAAAUAAAUGCCCAAAGCCACAGGGUCUUUGGAGAGAGGACUGGGAAGUGUUCGAGGUUCAGAAACCCAGAACCUCUAGAACUGCUUAAGAACGGCUGAGGCUGGGCCUGAGAAACGGGGAAGCGACCGAAGCUUUAGGGACACGGGGCACUCGGCAGCAGGCGGCCGGCAGCAGGGACUCCAGGCGCCGCGCCCGGUGCCCUUGCCUCCCGUCGGCCAGCGGAACCGACCUGCCGCUGCCCCCGCCCCUCGGUUCAUUCUCCUCAGCCAAACCGCGAGCGCCAGGGCCGGCUUUGAUUGGCCCUUCCAGACCCCGCCAGCCAAUCACCAGCCUGUUGCCAAGGCGGCGCUGCGGGGGCGGGGCUGCGCGGGGCCGGGCUCACCGGGCGGGCCGCGGGCCGCGGCGCCGCCGGCUCGGUGGGUGGGUGGGGCCGGCCGAGGGCUCCUCCCCCCGCCCGUGUCCGGAGCCCGGGAGCCCGCGCCCGCCCACCCGCCCCGCAGCGGCCGGGCUCCUGGGCCAGCGCGGCGAGGCCUCGGCUGUCCUUGCCGGAAGGUGAGACCGUCGUCCCCCAGGCACGUGGAGGACGGGAGACGUGCCUCCUCUGGAAGGUGCGGAAAACGAACGCCACUCACCCGUGCGGGGCCCACCAGACCAAGAAAUGAGGACGGGCCAACAAAGAUGCUGUCCUGCAGUGUGUGCGCCAGAGUGACCAAGUGACCACCUCAUGCCAGCCAUUCCUGGAUUUGAGCCUGACUCUGCCACUUACUCGCAGUGUGCCCAUAGAAGCCCCUGCUCUGCCAAAGAAGCCUUCUUCCUCCUUGGGCCUGUGACUGUUUACCUGCUCUCAGAAAAGCAGGUGUCAGGAGGCAGCUGCUGGUUGUGGUCUGUUCUCCCCAGAUACCAGAGCGCCUGGCCUCCUCCACACUGGUGGCCAUUGGCUAACAGGAAGCCAAAACAGAGUCAUGCUCGCCACCCUCAGCCACCUAGCCGGAGAACAAAGAGAGCACAGGAAACACCUGGAGGAGCAGGCAGCUGGCAAGGGGACGCUCUGCCCAAGAGAAGAAAAAGUUCCUGACAGGAGUUAGCCGUGAAGAACUGGGGGAGGGGCUCUGACACUUAAUUGCCCUUCUCUUGGCUCCCAGCAGCUGCUGAGAACUGACAGCUGAGUUGUUGAAAUGUGCCCACACUCCCACCCCCACUGUAAAGGAAUCAGCCCCCUCUAGCACCAGCUUCCUAGAGCCAAAGCAAGAACACUCAUAAAGGAGACUCCGCAGAGGGCUUUGCCUCUGCUCCUCUCCUUCCUUCCACGACCUCCUCACCCCCAGCCAGAGAAUCUGAUCGUCUUUGGACCAUGUAAAUUUAAACCCGUGGUCCAGGCGUGAAGACAGAAUCCUUAACCAAUGUCUCAGCCUGUGUUAUGUGAAAGCGUAUUCCAAAGAUGCGUCUCCUUUAUUUCCAAACUUAUUUAUCUAGAUCUUCAUCCAUAUCCGCCCACUGACUGUUUAUGAUUCCAAGUAGCUGUGGUUCAGGAUGGAACAGACUUCACCAGGAUGAUCAAAUGAAGCCCUACCAUCAGCAUCCACCCAAGAGCAUGUCUGCUAGCGUGUAGACCGUGUGCUGGGAACUAUGUGUGUAUGCAGCGGGGUUCAGCUCACAGGGCUCCCUCACCCCUUCUUAGGAAACUCCCAAAUAAGGCACUUUCCCUCUUAUGUCUGGAGUGAGAGGGUUGGAGCGGGGCAGAGAGGAGAGGGCACUUGUCCCACAGCCACUUGUGAGCAUAUCACGGUUUACUCAACCCAUAUCUUUUCAUUCAGCAGCCAGUGCACACAGGCAGUAUACCCAGACUGCCUGUGCCAAGUUGUGUUGACAGCACAUGGGAGAAUAAAAAGAAACAGAAGACAAUGGUUCCUCCUAUGGGGGGGUGCAUGUGGUAACACAUGGAGAGGGGACUUGAGCUUGCAAAGCCACCAGACAUCAACCAAAAGUGAUACGUGAAAAUGUGCUGACUGUAUUUGUUAUAAAAGUGUGAACAGCAAUAAACUAUGUGUAUAUAUCAUUAAGAGGCUCUGGAGUAAGAAAUAUGUGGUAAAACUGUGAGCAGUUUUAAACCAUAUGUAUAAAUGUUGAAAAGCCAUGAGGUAGGAAGGUUUUCAAGAGGACAGUGGAAUUGUCGAGGGGAGGCGUCCUGAAGAGGCUGCAGGGGGCUGGAGAGAGACACACCCAAGGUUGAAGCCUGUUCCCACCACCUCCCCCUGGUUCUGCCCGGGCUUCAUUGUCCUCAUCCGUGAACUUGAGAAUCAGAGAUUUUCCUUUUCCAUCUGGAAGUGCAAAUGGAAUGGCGAGAGAUGAGAAAACUGAGGCUGGGAAGGAGGAAGGGACCAGGCAAAGACAUCUAUCACUAGUUUUGUCAGACCUGAAGCUAGGGCCCGUAUUUCCCAACUCCUAAGCCCAGAGCUACUUCCCCCUCCCUGAAGCUGGCCUCCAACAAAGACAUUGGGAAGGAGGACUCCUGAGGGCAGGAUCGGUGUGCAGUAGCUGCAGUCUAUCCUCUCUCUCCUGCCGCCUCCAUCAGUUCCUUCGUGACAGCGGCCCAGCCUUUUCUCCAGGUAAACCCACUUAGGGAGUUAAUUGAUAACUAAGGUUCUCCCAUAUUAUAAUUUAAAGUGUGUCCACUCCCCUUUAAGUUAUAUUUACAUUUCAAUGGCAGGUGUUUAAAGACCUAAGAGGCUGCAAGAUUCAAAGGAUUGUUUUCCUAAGAAAGUGCAAUCUCAAGUUGGCUGCUUUGAGCUGGGACCCCUGGCUGGCAAACCCUGAAUAGACUUGAUGUUUUUCUUCCACCUGAUCUACUUACCUUUCAUCUGUUGGCCUCUAUUCUUGGCAACUUUGACAUUCAUCCAUUCACCCAAUAUUCACUAACACCUACUAAGCACCAAAUACUGCU